CGGACUGAUGUGGAGCUUGCUCCAUGGAUGUCAGCGGCGGACGGGUGAGUAACACGUGGGUAACCUGCCUGGCAGACUGGGAUAACGCUUGGAAACGAGUGCUAAUACCGGAUGAUCUCUUGGACUGCAUGGUUCGAGAGUAAAAGGAGCUUUUGCUUCACUGCCAGAUGGACCCGCGGCGCAUUAGCUAGUUGGUGAGGUAACGGCUCACCAAGGCGACGAUGCGUAGCCCACCUGAGAGGGUGACCGGCCACACUGGGACUGACACACGGCCCAGACUCCUACGGGAGGCAGCAGUAGGGAAUCUUCCGCAAUGGGCGCAAGCCUGACGGAGCAACGCCGCGUGAGUGAUGAAGGCCUUCGGGUUGUAAAACUCUGUCUUCUGUGAAGAACCAUCCUGUGCAGAGAAAGCUCACGACCUGACGGUAACAGAGGAGGAAGCCCCGGCUAACUACGUGCCAGCAGCCGCGGUAAUACGUAGGGGGCAAGCGUUGUCCGGAUUCACUGGGCGUAAAGCGCGCGCAGGCGGUCUCUCACGUCCGGGGUGAAAGCCCAGAGCUCAACUCUGGGAUUGCCUUGGAUACGGGGAGACUUGAGGAUCGGAGAGGCAAGGGGAAUUCCACGUGUAGCGGUGAAAUGCGUAGAGAUGUGGAGGAACACCUGUGGCGAAGGCGCCUUGCUGGCCGAUUUCUGACGCUGAGGCGCGAAAGCGUGGGGAGCAAACAGGAUUAGAUACCCUGGUAGUCCACGCCGUAAACGAUGAGUGCUAGGUGUUAGGGGGCCCACCCCUUAGUGCCGAAGCUAACGCAUUAAGCACUCCGCCUGGGGAGUACGGUCGCAAGACUGAAACUCAAAGGAAUUGA
rnacentral:rRNA from 1 species